rnacentral:rRNA from 1 species
ACGCUCGACACCUACGGGAGCAGCAGUAGGGAAUCUUCCGCAAUGGACGAAAGUCUGACGGAGCAACGCCGCGUGAACGAUGAAGGUUUUCGGAUCGUAAAGUUCUGUUGUUAGGGAAGAACAAACUUCGUUUGAAUAAGGCGGAGUCAUGACGGUACCUAACGAGAAAGCCACGGCUAACUACGUGUCAGCAGCCGCGGUAAUCUGAGCGGGCUGGCAAGGC